CGCCAAGCACAGCGUGGCAACACGUGAAAGUCGUCUGCAAUGCCGACAUCACCUGCGGGUGAGACGACCCACCUUUUCUCCGUCCCGCUAACCGGGACUUC
rnacentral:ncRNA from 1 species